UCAGUAAUCCUGACAUCCUGACAUGGAUCAACCAAUAUUCUCUUCCCUUCCAUGACUGUCAGGAUAGACUCAAAGAAGAACUGGCAGGAAACAUCAUAUGUGUGGGACAACCUCUAAGCAUCCUAUCUAAAAACAAGGAAGUUUCAGCUGCUCCAGCCAUCUGCAAUGGAAGAUUGCAUGGAAUCUUGUCCUGGGCAAAAGGAAGUGUCACGAUGGGAAGUGAAGGAUUCUUCACAGAUGUUCAUCCCUAUGCAAGAUGGAUCUUGAAAAUUAUGGAUACCCACUGAGGCACCUCUAUUACCAUAUCUACUCAGUACCACCUCUUCAAAAUUUCUACACUGGAUCUACAACUCUCUUCAUCUUUGUUGUUUUGGAACAAAAUCCAAAGAGGAAACAUCUGAUUAAAAAAAAGUGGGUAACCAAGAACCCA